AAGUCGUAACAAGGUCUCCGUUGGUGAACCAGCGGAGGGAUCAUUACUGGGUGGCUUCGGCCUAAACCCCCUAACCAUUGUGAACGAUACCAGUUGCUUAGCUGGUGGCGGUGAAAACCGCAGUACCGGCGGCACAAAACUCUUCUAAUGUAAUCUCUGAGUUACUUUUAAAUAAGUCAAAACUUUCAACAACGGAUCUCUUGGUUCUG
rnacentral:misc_RNA from 1 species